rnacentral:rRNA from 1 species
GACGGAGGGUGCAAGCGUUGUUCGGAAUUACUGGGCGUAAAGGGCGCGUAGGCGGUUUGCUAAGUUCGGUGUGAAAGCCCCUGGCUCAACUGGGGAACGGCGCUGGAAACUGGCAGACUAGAGUACCGGAGAGGAGGGUGGAAUUCCUGGUGUAGCGGUGAAAUGCGUAGAUAUCAGGAGGAACACCGGUGGCGAAGGCGGCCCUCUGGACGGAUACUGACGCUGAGGCGCGAAAGCGUGGGGAUCAAAC